AAAAUUUAAAAAGAAUUUGAAACAAGAAGGGUAAAAAGGUCCUUUGUGCCAGACAUUCGCCAGGUGUCAGACACGCACAGGACUGGGCUCGAAUUCCAAAGUGGAAAUUGGGUCUGGUCCGGUCAAUUUGGUAUCAGAGCAUAGGUUUUACUUCCUGUAGACUUCGCACUCUGUGCAUCCUUGUUUUCUUUUCAAGUUGGGCCCAAAUGGUGGUGGUAUCCGUAGGGAAAUUAGACAGAACUCCCGACGUAAGGGGAUGAGAUUUCCAAGUCAGACAGGAACUGCACCGGUAUUUGAAUCGGCAGAGAAAACUUUUGUUAGAGGCUCGUCAGGAGCCGUAUUCACUGUACCUAGUAGGCGGAGAAAUCCAAAUGUCCAGUAGACCUUGGAGGUGUUAGCUCAGGCUUUAGUCAGCCAGAGAUCCAUCCAUGAGAUGGGUGGAUCAAGUAAAAAGGAUUGAGAACUAUAAAUUUUGGUAAUAAUUGUCUUCAGUAGUAAAGGAAGAUUGGAUUGAAAGGAAUAGAGUAGAUCAUGAAGGUCAUGGUUGUUCCACAGAAGAGUAGAGUAUUUGUGGGAUUUGGUUAAGAAAUGAUUCCAGGAUCCUUCGAUUAAUACGUAACAAGUAUUUGAGAGCCAAAGUUGAUAGUCAGUCUUAUCUAUAAGUCUACAGAAGGUGUGGAUGCAGGAGUUUUUGCAGCAGAAUAGAGGAUAGUGGUUGAACCCGAAUACGAGAAAAAGGUUUCACGUAUUAUUUUCUACUAGUAGGGAUCGAAAAGUAAGAGGUAGUACUUGGUUGUGAUAAGGUUAAAAAGCCUCUAUCCAAGGUAUUGUGAUCAGUUAGUAGUUGGUUAACCUUGAUGCCGUGGUGAUGUCUGGCCCCGUAAGAUAAUGGGCAGACCAUGGGGUACACUUUGUGCAUAGUAUUUGGAUAUAGGUAACAUUAAUCAGGAAGAGUUUAAGAGAGAUAUCUACAGUAGUGAUUACAGUUUCUGAUCACCGAAUGACCGCAGGUAUAGAGACUGCCGACCUGGAUUUAGUUUAAGUAAAGGUACCAGCCAGAACAGUAGUAUUGGUAGUCGUUCUAGGGCUGGUAUAGCCAGAAGUAUGGGAAGACAGAUGUUGCUAGGCUCUAACAAGAGAAGUUGCCUUAAUGUGUCAGGUGUGGCAGGCAUCGUUCCGGGCCCUGCUAGUGAGGUACAGCUGGAGGAUAUUAUUAUCAAAAAGGGUUGUCGCUGUUUCUUCAGCAUAAAAAGAUUAUUACUGCAGCGAAACAAGUAAGCAAGGUAAAUCACAGAAAACACCACAGUCUAUGGAGGCUCUGUUUCGUGGUGGGUCUAGAUCAGUGUGGCUAGUUAAGGAAGUAGUCAGCUGAAGGGAUACAGUAACAGUUUUAAACUUGCAAGUAGACAGUAUAACCUGCCUCAGUGGGAAACAUGAGCCUUAUUUAUUGCAGUUACAGAUUGAAUUCCCCUUCGGCAUGGUUGACUAGAGGUCAUGUUAGGGUUGAAUUAAUUUGAUCAGAUACCAUGUCGCAGAGUUACCUUUCAUUGGGAAAUUGGAUUUAUUCUUGAGUUCACUCCAGGAAUGGAGCUUAUUUCUUGGGUGAAGUACAAAAAGACACCAAUAAGUUGAAGGAGUUAGAGACUCAAUUGCAGGAAUAAAUAGUGAAGAGGAUCAUUUAGCUUAGUGUUUUCCUCAUUAAAGUGUUCUAGAGUUAUUUAAGGAAGAAGAUAUCAUCAUGAAGGUAUGCACGGACUCAAGGUAGCUGGAUAAGAUUACAGUACUGAACUAGGCGUCUAUGGUUUCACAGUAAGGAAUUGUUUAAUAAGCUAAGAAGUGCCAAGGAAUUUUCUAACAAGUGAUUUGAGGCUUGGAUAACUCCAGUAAUGAAUUAGAAAGAAGUAUGUGCUUAACAACAGCGUGCUGAAUAAGGUAUGGGUACUUUGAGUUCUUGAUCAUGAUAUGAAGAAUUAAAGAAUGUGUCAGUUGCAUUUGUGAACCCCCCUUAAACAGAGAAUUUUGGUAUUGUUGAGAUCACUUCGUGACUGUGUGUCUAGAUGACAUCUUGGACGUAUUUUAAGAGACAAUAGGCACGUAUGAGAUAGUUAAAUGUCGGUUGACCGAGUGAAACCUUUUGGGACACACAAUUUCGGUUGAAAGCAUUUUAUUGAUCCUCAAGGAUUGAAGCAGUGGUAAAUUUAGUUAUGACCAAUCAGUGCUACUGAGAUACAGAAUUUUCUAGGUAAGCUGAUUCUUGUUGUCGCCCUGUGAAAAGGGUUGUCCACCAUGGCGACGCCGCUCAUCUUUUUAGCAAAGAAGGAAGUUCUAUUGGUGUGGUCAGACCGGUGUGAAUUUCAACACUGCAGGAGGUUAGUGGGAACUUGAUAUGCUACAGUAUUGUGGUCAUAAGAAUUAAAGGUUGUGCUGGUACAGUGUGGUUUGCAAUAAGAAUUGGGGUUUGCGUUAAUACAGUAUGGUAGAGUGAGCACUUAUGCGUCUCAACAAUUGAAGAAGCAGGAAUCAAAGUAUUUUACUCAAGAUUCGAAAAGGUCAUAUUAAGUUGGUUUAGUAAAAUUAAUGACAGUAUUUUUAUAGGGAAGUAUGCUAGAUCCUUACAGAUCAUAAAGGAUUACCAUAUGUAUUUAUCCAGGAGGAAGAAAAAUUGAGACGGAGAGCACAGUCAGAGAUUAUAGGUACACUCAAGUGUGAAUUUCUCAGGAGAAGUAGCUUAUCUCCGAAGGAAAUGUUGAUCCGUGAUGGUAAGACUGAGGAAAUUCAAAAUGGACUAGAUAUGGAUAAACAAAAAGCACCGUUAACCACUCUUCAGGAAGGAUCAGUGUUAAGGAACUCAAAGAUUCGCAGGAUAUUUUCAAGAUCUAGAGUCGACUCCUAUGAGAAGAAGUUGAAUUAUAUGAUAAGGAAAGUGACAUUUUAAAAUAGAUGAGGUUUCUUAUGAGGAAAGACACAGUAAAGUUUGCCAAUAAGCGAUAUUUCAGUGACAGAAAUCAACAGGAUUCUUGAGACCAUUUCCGAUUUCUGAAAGGAAGUAGGAGUAACUUACAAUGGAUUUUAUGUUCAGCUUCCUUAUACAUAAAGAAAGCAGAACGGAGUGUAGGAAAUUAAGGAUCGAUUCAGUAAGUCUGAAUAUAUUCCGCAUGUGAGAAUCAAGUAUAGUCUGAAUAAACUGGUAAGAAUCUUCACAGAUAAGGUCUUGCAACGUUAUGGAAUACCAGUCCCUACGGUUUAGAUCAAGAAAUCCAAGCUAUUUUCCAGUUGGACUCAACUAAAAGAAGCUUUUGGGCCUUGAUUACAGUUUAAUACCGCAAUUCACUCUAGACAGAUGACCAGCUUAAGAAAAUGACUCAAAUUGUGAAAAGGUUAUUGAGACAUAGUCUACUACAGUUUCAGAAUGAUUUGGGUGAAAAGAUACUGGUUUGAGAGUGUGCCUUAAGUUCAGUGGUCAGACUUCCUUGGGUUACAAAUCUAAAAUUUGCUAUUGGUAUUUAUAACUGAGAUGUUUCCAAUUGAUGCCUUACACGAGGCAUAGUAUGGAUCACCCAAGUAUGAAGAUGGAAUGUUAAGCAAGGUUUAUUGAAAUCUGAAAGUAUUGUAGGAAAUAAAGAACCUUAUUGGAUUAAGCAGAAAAAGACUCAAAUAACCCAGUAUUGACAAGGAGUUAUGUAGGUACUAAAAGAAAUAUCUUCAGUUGAGUAUUCUGCAACAUUUAUCGCCUUAGGGCGGUGAAAUGAGAUUUAAGGAAGCAGGGGAGCCAAAUCCUAGCUGUAUCAGAUCUAAGGAAAUUAUAGAAUGUGCGGGAAAGAAAUAGUUCAGAUUUUGGAAUAGAAAGUGUUUAGCUUUCAGUGAUAUUUGCAGUGUAAUAACCCGAGUAGAAAAUACAGGAGUAGCCCUUCUCCCCUCCUUGAGUGACAGAGAUGUAAAUUUCGAGGACGAAAUUUUUAUAAGGGGGGGUAGAUUGUAAUAACCCAAAACAAAAUAUCUAAAAAGAAAUAAAAUAUCUAAAAAGUAAGGAUAAUAUCUUCUAGCAUAAAAGACAAUUUUGCCCUCGCAUUAUUUAAUAGGGGGAAAAUUGACUUUUUGAUCGAGAAAGAAUUUGGCAAAUCCUCUUGUGCCGUUGCGUAGAGCACGGCGAGAGGAGUCCGUAGACACAGAGUAGACCCGAAUCGGAGUUGUAACGAAGAAGAUACGAUCAAAAUACCGUGAAGGGCAAAAUAGUAAUUUGGCCAAAAAGUCAGAUUUUUAACCCUUUUUCCUUCUCUCUCUCCUCAUUUCUCUCUCCUCCCGAUUUUUGCUCCAGCCGCCCGACCUUUCCUCCUUCUCCUUGACGCCACGGCCGCCACACUUGGAACCGAUCUCCACCGUUGGUACCAAACGAACCAGCACUCGACCGCCGACGUUUCUUGACCCUUCGCCGGAGUUUCCGUGGCCGGAACUCGCCGGAAAACUCCAUUUUCGCCGGAUUUCCAGUUUGAACUUUGAGCUCGAUUUUCUCCUUCAAUUCUCCACCAAAUCGAUCGAGUAAGGUAUGGUUUCUCAGCUAUUUUUCGUGUUCUAGCUAAUGGAUGUAUGGGUUUCGAUCGAUUUUAGCUCUAAAGGGUUCGAUUUUCGACUUGAAAAUUGGCCGAAACUUCGGCCGCCGUAAUCUACUGUUUUCGAUCACUUUUUGGGGUAUGUCUAAGAACAAAAGUGACUCCAAAUGGGGUGUUUUACCUAGGAUAAGACUUUGGAGUCUUGGUUCCGAGAUUUUUCGGCCACUCGGUAUCGCUUUAGACAAUCGAAUCUGCCCGCGCGUGCUGGGGUGCGUGGGCGAGGGUGGUGGAGUAACUCUGGGCAGUUUUGAGAUCCUCGUGUCAUGACGAGCGCGUAGGAUUUCGCGGAUCUCGAUUCGGAGUCCGUUUGAGCCCCGAACGGAUUUUCCAUAUCGCGCAAUCCUUGGGUGCAGUGUCGUCAAAUCGUCGGAUCGCGCUGAAUUUCAGAUAUGUCGGUCUACAUGAUUUCAGGAUCGUGUAGGAUUCAACGGAUUGCGAAUCGCAGUCCUGGAUACUCCGAAAUCGCGAACCCUGGGGCUAGGGUUUGGAUUUUAAGCGAUAACGCGAUUUUGGCUAAUCCGACCGUCCGUUUCGGACCAAACUCGCAGAACAUGGUUCCUUCUCUGUAAGGAACCUUCAGAGGAGCCCAGAUUGGCCAUCGGAGACCGUGGACCCACGGGGUCCGGGAUCGGCCGAUCUGGCAGUAUAUCGCUUAGUAAGGCUUCGGGUCUCUUAAGGUCGUUCUAACUGUCUAAAAAGCUAAUGUGGGCAUAAGAGUAACUUUAAAAUGAGUGCACGUAUUUCCAGGAACCGGGGGCAGGGUGUUUAAUUUGAUUCUUUUUAUUCAGCAGUUUAUUGAUUUAUUAUUCAUGGAUAAUCAGGCACUAGAGGUCCAGUCGACCUGCAGGAAGGACCUUCGAAGGGUCCAAUUAGCUCGGACCAUCAGUGAGUGGACUUUCUUUCAUAACGAUUUUAUAUGCAUGAGUUAUAUCUUAAACGAUUUUAUAUGCAUGAAUUAUAUAAAUGAGAUUAUUUAAUUGAUUUUUUUUAUAAUGAGUUUAUACAAAUAAGCUUUUACAAAUUAGUUUAUAUGGGUUAAUGUCAUUAUUUGAUCUUGAAGAAGUUUUAUGAACUAUUCAUUUCGAACGUGAUCUGUGCUGUACAAUACUUUGAUUUACGUGUUGUUCAGUUAUUGAAGCUCAGUAAUAUAAAAAGCAGAGUUUGAGAAUUCUAUCAGAGGAGACAGCAGUUAAAUUUCAGUUUCACAAAAAGGCAGUGAGUUAUUAGAUUUUUCUAAAAAUAGUUUAUUUUAGAACCACCAUGUACCCACCCUUUACUUGGUGAUUACCCAGAGUUGGACCGAUGUCUACGGACAUCCAGUCCGAUUUCAGUUUAUGUCAGUGCACUUGACUUUGCCUCACGAGUUUCGGGGACGCUCGGACCGUGAGUGCCAGGAUUUGCGGCUCGGCAGACUUGGUGUCCCGAGACCUGCCAGGAUUGCGGCUCGGCUGACUCUGUGUCCCCGAGACCUGCCAGGAUUGCGGAUCAGGCUGACUACGGUCCCUGCAUCCUGCCAGAGCGACGCGAGCUGACUUGGUGUCAUCGAGGAAUCUGCCGGCGGAUCAGGCUGAUCAUAGUCCCCUGAUUUCGCCAGUUUGCGGCUCGGGUAGACUGCGUGGCGCCCGAGACCUGCCAGGGGAAUUGACGGAUAUGACAGGGGUACAAAUAGGUGGUAUUUUCAAAGGAUUUUGAGUUUUCUUUUAUUCGAUUAUGACUUUCAGUUAUUUUAUAUCAGUUUCUUUGAUAUUCAUGCAUUUAUAUCUUUACAUAUUUGUUCAGUUAUACGAGCACAUUCAUCAGUAGGUUUUUACAUGCUUAUUUGAAUACCUUGUAUUGAAAUAUAGACAAACCCUCGAGUUAAAUCCUUGCUUAUUUUUAAAUGGGGGUUACUAUGUUUAUAAAAUUUAUUUUCAAGAACUUAAUUUUUGUCCACUCACAUUUUCAACCUGUUUUUCGCCCCCAGGCCGUAGAAGUGCGCAGGAUCCACCACCGGGCCAUCUCUAGCUUCCGCGCCAUCAAGUAUUGAGUUUUGUGGAAAAGUUCUUGAAACUCUGUGAACUUUAGAAAAUGCUCUGAUAUCUAGUUUUAGUGGAAAACUGGAGUUGGUGAAUACUUGGUUAUUCUAUUCUGGUAGUUGGUGUGGAUUUAUUUGAUUGUUUAACAGGUGAAAAAAAGUUGGGUUUGGUCAAAAUACAGGGGAGACUCUGCCGAAUUUUCGGCAGAAGUCUAAGGGAAAAUUUAAAAAGAAUUUGAAACAAGAAGGGUAAAAAGGUCCUUUGUGCUAGACAUUCGUCAGGUGUCGGACACGCACAGGACUGGGCUCGAAUUCCGAAGUGGAAAUUGGGUCUGGUCCUGUCAGUGAAGGUAUCAUGCGAGCAGUUGCAGACCCCUUGGACAUCAACUUGUUGACCCCUUCGGUGCACUAAACAUGCUCGACAAAAGUCCCCAAAGAGAGAAAGGUGGGUUGAUGGGUUACUGCGAUCAUAUAAUGGGUGAGUGCGAUGGCAAUGGGUGAGUUUUAAUUUUGGAGAGAGAGAGAGAGAGAGAGAGAGAGAGAGAGAGAGAGAGAGAGAGAGAGAGAGAAAGAGAGGAGGAGAAAGGAUUAGGGUGGAUGUUGUUGUGAAAGAGAAGAUGGGAAGGUACUGAUUUUUCUUUUCUUUUUCAAAGUGGAACAUACCUUCUUUGUGUGAUGCUUUUGUCUUCUUUGCUUUCUAUAUGUUUUGUUUUCUAGUUUUCUCUGACUGUUACAAUUAUUAAUCUGCUGCAUUGGUUUUUCGUACCAUGUAGUGAGUUACAACUAAAUCGGAAAGUAAUAUUAAUUCACA
rnacentral:lncRNA from 1 species